UUUUGCUGUUAAAUAGCAUGUGCAUUCCACAUGACCAGUCUUUUUUUUAUAAUUUCAAGGGUACAAUGGGUGUUUCCUCUAUCUUCUUCUUCUUUUAUCUUCUUGAUUUUCAAAUGUGGGUUACAAUUUUUGCAGAAAAUUCCCAGUGGAUUGAUUUUCAUUAGUAUUGCAAGAGGGUGGUUAAUGCCUCUGCUAGCAACCCAAAUAGCAACUUUGAAUCCCUGUGGCCCAUCUUUAGCUCUACAAAUUUCCCUUCUUAGACUAGAAUUGUCUUCCACCUUUUUGAACCACAAAAAUGAAAACAAUACCAUUACCAGCAUCAAAGCUAUUUGAUUGAAAAGUUAAAAGGCAAAUCUUCAAUUUUACAAAUUAAAUUCCUGCUACAAUUCCUAACACACAUGAGCCAAAAUCAUAUUUUCAUAUUCAAGUAAGUGUUUUUAUCUAAAGAGCAUAUUUGAAACGAAAAACACAAACAAAUCCUACACUCACAUUAUGAGAAAUUCACACAAAUUAAUCCCCAAAACACAAAAUUUUAUCACCACCCAGAACACAAGAAAAAAAGCUUCCAUAUUCAAAAUCCUAAACUUUGAAGUCUCACAUCAGUUGGAAAUAGAAAGGAAACACUUCUUAUAAGUGGGUGUGGAUACCUUUUCCUUACGAGGCCUUUUAAAACCUUAAGAACUGAGUUAUAAGAGGAUUUUUCAAACCCAAAGAGGACAAUAUCGCAAGCGGAUGGUCUAGGCUGUUACAGUUGCCCUAAAAAAGGAGGAUUGUGAAGUUCCACAUCGGUUGGAAAGGAGAACGAAACACUCCUGCGAUGGUCUAGGCUAUUACAGUUGGUAUCAGAGCCAGUACCCGGAUCGAUGAGCCAACGAGGACGCUGGGCCCUAAAGAAGAAAGAUUGUGAAGUUCCACAUUGGUUGGAAAGGAGAACGAAACACUCCUUAUAAGUGGGUAUGGAUAUCUUUCCCUUAUGAAACCUUUUAAAAUCUUGAUCUUUCCUUUACGAGGCCUUUUAAAACCUUGAAAGUGGGUAUCAAUACUCUUCUCUUACGAGGUUUUUUAAAAUCUUGAAGGCUCGAUUGUAAGAAAAUUUUCCAGACCCAAAAAGAACAAUAUCGCAUGCUGGUGGUCUUGGCUGUUACAUAAAUAGCCCAAAAGUAUUAAAAAAAAAAAACCAUAAAUCUUAAUCCCACACCUUCAGUCUUUCACAGACCCAAAUCUAUCAAAUUUAGAAGAAAAGAAAAAAAAUAAAAAACAAAACAAAACAAAACAACAAAAAAACAAAACAAAACAAAAAUUUAAUAUAAAAAUGGGAAAAUCUAUCCAAAAAAAUUAAUAUAAAAGUGGAAAAUCUAUCCAUCUUUGUUCUUCAAAAGCUCUUUAAUCACAGCCUCUGGCUCGGAAUCCCUCUUCAUCCUUGGAGGGGGUAUGUAGAUAUUGGGAUGAGACUUGAUACAUGCUUGGACGCGGAACCCAGAAGAAGGCAGCGACUCUACCACAUGAAGAGGCGUGGUCUGGCCGUGAUUUCAUCGGUGAGCCUUGGUGAUUGAAUGGUCCACUGCUAGCAUCAAGAAAAUUUAUCAAGCCCUCAAUUUUGACAUACCUUGUCAACAAUUAUUGGUGACAAUAAGGGUCUGCAUCGAGUGCUUUCGCACGCAAAAUUAUUGAGGCUGGCAUUUAAUGUGAAACGCGGUGGUUGAGGCAAAAGGGAAGUGAUGGGUAAAUUUGCUCAGUCAAAAAAGAGGGUGGAGUGUACGUGAAGAAGAAGAUGAUAUCUCCAAUACACUCUUGCCCUUAGAAGAUUUGCACUUUUUAUUAUUAUUAUUUAAAUCAGAGCAAUUUUGUUAUUGUCAGCAAUGUGGAUGUUUAAGAAAUUGUAAAAAAAUGUAAAAAAAUGGGGGUUUCUCUGUAGUGUUCCCUUCUCAGUUAGUUUCCUCAGCUAAGAGCUAGAAGGCAUGCAACUGAUUGACAGUUGAACCAAACAAAAAGUACAAAGUCAAAAAAAACUUUAAAUGAA